rnacentral:pre_miRNA from 1 species
UAAACUCAAAUUUGUAUGGAGUUGAAAAGUUUGCUUACGUUUGCCGCUAGGGGCGCUGAUCCAACUGCAUAAAAAUUUGCGGUA